rnacentral:rRNA from 1 species
UACGAAGGGGGCUAGCGUUGCUCGGAAUCACUGGGCGUAAAGCGCACGUAGGUGGACUCUUAAGUCGGGGGUGAAAUCCUGGAAGCUCAACUCCAGAACUGCCUUUGAUACUGGCGGCCUUGAGUCCGGGAGAGGUGAGUGGAACUGCGAGUGUAGAGGUGAAAUUCGUAGAUAUUCGCAAGAACACCAGUGGCGAAGGCGGCUCACUGGCCCGGUACUGACGCUGAGGUGCGAAAGCGUGGGGAGCAAACAGGA